rnacentral:rRNA from 1 species
GACGAACGCUGGCGGCGUGCCUAAUACAUGCAAGUAGAACGCACAGUUUAUACCGUAGCUUGCUACACCAUAGACUGUGAGUUGCGAACGGGUGAGUAACGCGUAGGUAACCUGCCUGGUAGCGGGGGAUAACUAUUGGAAACGAUAGCUAAUACCGCAUAAUAUUAAUUAUUGCAUGAUAAUUAAUUGAAAGGUGCAAUUGCACCACUACCAGAUGGACCUGCGUUGUAUUAGCUAGUAGGUGAGGUAACGGCUCACCUAGGCGACGAUACAUAGCCGACCUGAGAGGGUGAUCGGCCACACUGGGACUGAGACACGGCCCAGACUCCUUCGGGAGGCAGCAGUAGGGAAACUUCGGCAAUGGGCGAAAGUCUGACCGAGCAAGGCGGCGUGAGUGAAGAAGAUUUUCGGAUCGUAAAGCUCUGUUGUAAGAGAAGAACGGGUGUGAGAGUGGAAAGUUCACACUGUGACGGUAUCUUACCAGAAAGGGACGGCUAACUACGUG